ensembl:lncRNA
UUUAAUUUCUAAACAAAUUCCCAAGCAUGGUUUUCCUUAACUUUCGACAAAAAGGUCUCUAGGAUACGAAUAUAAACAUUUUUCCUUUAACAUGUGGACAGUCAGCACCGUGAAGAUUUCAGGAACGCGCGGCAUGUUGGGAUGUACUGUUUUAUUAACAGCGUCACAAAACCAGCAGUCGCUGAAUGCACGCUGUAGCUGAAGGCCGUCUCACCGUGGACAGGUGCGCUGCCUCUCUGCGCAUGCGCAGUCCUCCCGGCUCGGCAAGUUAGUGUUAAAAUGGCGGCGGCCGCAGCGGAGCAGGUAACGCAACCUGUGUAAUCUCAACUGCCGCUCGGCGUCACUUCAACUCGGGCGGUGCUGCUGGAGGAAAAGUGGACGAGUGUGGAUUUAUUUCUCGGAGCCUGUCAGUAAAAGUGCGUGUGUGCGUGUGUGUGUGUGUGUGUGAGAGGGAAGUAGCGCUGUGAUGAAGAAGCAGGAACAGAAAUGCACAGAUGAGUGAAGUUCAAACUGAACGGAAGUGAACUUCACAUGCCUCCUCCCCGCCGCGGCUCGGGGUCAUUAGAACGCGCAUUAGAGCGUUAUUAACGCGACCUUAUGCAGUUUAGGCCGGAGGGGUAACUCCUGCUCUCAAGUUCAUGCCGGGUUUCUGUGUGUGAAGAGAAGCGCCGAGUCCGAGACACAAACACACACAGAGAGAGAGAGAGAGAGAGAGAGAGAGAGAGGUGAAGUCUGUCCAUCAUCAUCAUCAUCAUCAUCAUCAUCAUCAUCAUCAUGGACAGGAAGGUGCAGAUAAGAUGUGUAGAAGUGUUAUAAAGCAACACAACACGGAAGAAGGGAUGGACACAGAAGAUACGAUGAGAAACCCGGAUGGAAAAGAUUUUCACGCUGCUGAAAACGGCUCUGUCGUCGGUUCACACACUCCCGAUCUCCUUCGCGGUGUGUGUUUGAGCUCCACGCCGCUGUACUGCCGCUCGGCCUCAGCCACUGCCUCUCUGCACAGCGCCUCCUGUUGGUGAGGAGGAGGAGCAGCACAGCGUGGAGUCGCAGGACUCGGGCAUCCCGACUCUGGAGCUCAGCUCACCCGAGGGUAACGAGUUUCAAACAGUACUGUACGGUGUGUGUGUGUGUGUGUGUGUGUGUGUGUGUGUGAGUGUGUGUGUGUAAGUGUGCGUGUGUGUGUGUGUGUGUG